GACGAACGCUGGCGGCGUGCCUAACACAUGCAAGUGGAGCGACGACCCAGGGCUUCGGCCUGGUGCAAAGCCGCGAACGGGUGAGUAACACGUGGGUAACCUGCCCCGAUGAUUGGGACAACCCGAGGGAAACUCGGGCUAAUACCGAAUGUGCCCUCCAGCUAUAAGGCUGCGUGGGGAAAGGAAGCUUCGGCCUCCGCA
rnacentral:rRNA from 1 species